AACGCAUAUUGCGCCCCUUGGUAUUCUGAGGGGCAUGCCUGUUCGAGCGUCAUGAUCAGAUCUCAAGCUGUUUUUGCUUGGUAUUGGGCUUUCGUCUACUGUUAUGCCUAUGUAGUACAUACAUGGUUUUUGAAUGACGUGCCUGAAAAUCAAUGGCGGUGCCUCAAAUGGACUCAAGUGUAGUAGGCUAACUCUCGCUUUGGAGAACUUUGGGUGGUGCUGUCGACUGAAAUAAUCAAUUUGGACCUCGGAUCAGGUAGGGAUACCCGCUGAACUUAA
rnacentral:misc_RNA from 1 species